UUUUGCAUUCCAAAUUCCCUUAUAGCGUUAGAUUUCAAUUGAUGUCGGGAACUAAGCAGGAUCACUCCAGAUUUGUACUUGGAUGGGGGACCACCAAGGAAUAUCAGGUGCUGAAGGCU
rnacentral:rRNA from 1 species